AAGAACUACAUUUCCCAUCUGCCCUGGCUGUCACAGGCUAAUAGCACCAGCUGCUUUCCAUUGCCUUAAGGAAUGAUUCUACUGCGGCAACGAGACCAAAUACAACGAAAGUAUUGAUGCUGCAAAAGAAGACGGAUCUUUUGGUAGGCUGGUUAAUGAUGACCACAAGCACCCAAAUGGCAGAAUACAGAAGACUGAAGUGGAUGGAAGCCCACAUCUUGGUCUGUUUGCUUUAACAGACUUUAAAGAAGGUGAUGAAUUACCUACAAUUACGGAGGAGGAGACUGGCCUUGGUGUAGCAAGGUAAAACAUCUACUCUGAAAAAGAGGAAGGCUCGGGAAGGAAAUGAGGUCCAUGCAGUGGAGAGACAUAUGAAGACCUUCAUCAUGUCAUGUCGUGUCCCAGGGAAGUUGGUCUGUGAAAACUGCAUUAGAUCUGAGUCUUUAUAUCUUAAAGAUAGAGACUGGCAAAGUGUCAAAUUCUAUGUCAACAACUGCACUGUAGCUUACAAGAGAGAUUUAAACAAAGAUUAAAUAACACUUUGAUAGUAACACUUUACAUCUAUAUUACAGAUACUGUACAUCAUAACAUCUGUAGUAAUGCUUUAACAAUAAGUUACAUUACACCUCUAGCCUUUUACUUUGUAAUGAACCGCUCAGCAUUUACUUCAUCAUAAACUAAUCAGGAACAAAUCAGGCAUUUAAAAUAUCCAUUAGGAUCUUUACCUACACCGUUAUAUUGAAUUAGAUCAAAUUGGUUUGGGCCGCCUUCUUCCAGUGGGUCCUUAUGCAGGUGACUGACAAGUUCAUGAGUAAGCCUAUUGGGCAAUAAAAGCUUCAGUGUGCUACCCAUUUACAUGUUUAGACUGCCUGGAAUCAAAAUUAGCUACCUCAACAUAUAUUAUUAAGUUGUUACUGUCACUUUUUAGCUUAGUCAGUUAAGUGGAUAUAGAAUAAAGAAAAAAAUUGUGUUUAUGACAUUUGGUUGUGUGUCUGUGUUUGGCUAGUAUCUUUAUUUUUCUCAAUAUGUUUAACUUUGAGCUGGCUAUAUGUAGUAAGCAGAAGUGUUAUGUCAAACUUAAAUGAGUCCAAGUUCAUUCAUGGCACAUGUGAGCUUAGUAGUUGUGCACUUUAAUGGGCAAAUAUUUGUUGUCUUUUACAGUAAAGAAGCUCAAGACUCAAGUUGUCUUUAUAAUGUUGAAUAGACAGGGUUUUUUCAUCUUACUGACAAUUUUUCACUUGAUUAGAGAUCCAGACCAAUAAACAAAUACUUUGUGUAGCUAAAAUAUCAAAAGGAUGAGUGUCUUUGUCAUUUUGACUUGCCAAAAUGACUGGGGAUAGUGUUAAUUUGUGAUGCAUGCCUGUGAUAAAUAAGUGAGGUUCAGUACAGCUAGCACCUCUACUUUCUAUUCCACAAAAAAAAUUGUAUACUUUGGAGCAGGAAAUGAAAAGCUUCUUAGAAUUAUAGCCUCAAAACUAAUAAUAGCACUGGUAACACCUUCCUUAACAAGUUCCUAGGUUUCUCAAAGGGUUCCUCUGUUGGAAAUAGAAAGCUCCAAAAAAAUGUAGUCUGUUAUCUAUUACGUGCAGAUAUUGAAAUUUCUGUAAGAGAGCUUUUUGAUAACCAAACUUUCACUGAUUGCAUAUUUCACAAAUAAGGCUUAAGAGUCCUUAGUAUAAACAAUUAAGAACAACUGUUCAAUAUAAUUUCAUGAGAAGCUUAAACCUUCAAAUAGAGAAAAUACACAUCAUAUCUGCUUUACAGACAGCCCUCUAAAUUAGACAUACUUAGUUUGUAAUUUUGUAUAAAUAAUUAUAGUUAAAUUGACAACAUUGUUUUUUAAAACCAUGUCCCAUUGUUGUUAUAUAAACGACCUGAUCUGUGUGUAUGCAGAUUAACUAUCUAGUGAUGUCCCCUCUACAACAUGAAAACCAGUUAAUUUGCUGUGUAUGAAAAUUAGGUCCCCGUUAAUGAUGAGUUCUUGUUAUGUUGUUUAUGAAAAAACCAAGCACAGAAAUUUGGUGAUUUAAAUCCAGAAUUUGAGAUGAUAUGUGUUCUCAGGCUUAAAUUAUACAUGCCUGAUUUUUUUCACAUCUGUAGGACCUCAGGAAAGUGGUGUCCCCACAAUACAUGGGUGGGACUACUGACCCCAGAAUGUUAUAAUUACAAGAGUGUGUGUGUGUGUGUGUGUGUGUGUGUGUGUGUGUGUGUGUGUGUGUGUGUGUGUGAAAGGUACAGGAGCAGUCUGGCUGUGCAGCUACAGUAAAUGUUAAUAAUAAUAAUAAUAGGACGUUAUUUAAAAGCUCAUACAGCUGAUGUGAUUUUUAUUUAGUAGUUAAUUUAACAUGCUAUGCUAACAUGUAAACAAUAAGAUAAUAUUACCUGACGUACAUUUUACACUCAAUAUUGUCUGUUUCUGUUCUAUUUCACCAACAAAAAUAUUUCCAAACAAAGCCACAGCAGGUCCUGCUCCUUUUUCCUCCUAAUUCCCUCAUUUCUCCACGUUGGGAUUAAUAAAGUAUUAUCUUAUCUCAUCUUUUGUUCAAAUGGGAGAUUUCUUAUUUAUUUUAUUUAUUUUAUUUAUUUUUAAAUAGGAGACCUUUUAAUAAUUUUAUUUAAAAAAUGGCUUCAUGUUUCAAUUAUAAUGAAGCAUUUGUUCAAACAAAAAUGUUUUCAGUCCUUUAAGGAUCAUUGUAACUGAGGAUGUUAUGUUUAAAUAAACAGCAGGAGAUUGAGCACCAGUGACUUGACACCUACAGCUGACAAAGCUGCAAGCAGGGUUCAUACCUGCGCAAGAAAACCCUGUUGGAUUUAGAGUCCGACGCCUCAAAGUGAUUUAAGGAAACACUAGGCUAUUCUACUGGAGCCGACGGACGUGUCUGUCCGUGUUCGACCCUUCUUCAACAACAACUUUGCAGUCUCGUUUAUAUUCUCAGGUUUCCGCACGUGGACGCCCUCUUCAGUCCAUUUACUUCAGUCAAGUAAUUAGAGCCUUUACUAGUUUACAUGAACACAUUCGGACGACUUACUUUACGUCAAAGCAUUUUUCUAGGAUAAAACACAAGCAUGUUUGAUGAAUGCCAAGGUGCUUUCUUGCUCAUCUGAAUAGAGUUCUCUCUGCAUUACGACACAGUUUCAUAACAGGCUUCAAGUUGCGCAGGUGAAACCCCGGUGUAGUUCAGGUCCAGUGCCCUUUUCUCUCUGCAGUCGGGAAGAUAGUGCACACGAGUUAGUUGACACAGACCGCUGACAUGCCUUGAGCAGGCUUCAAGUUGCGUAGGGGAGACCCCAGUGCAUUCCAAGUCCAGUGCCAUGUUCUCUUGGCCAUCAGAGGAAGGGAGCAUGAGACAAGACUUAAGUGCAUUUCCUUGGUUCAUUUAUGUUCUGAUGUUUUAUGUUUUGAUCGUUUCAAUGUGCCAACCUUCUUUACCAGCCGUAACCGCGAUGGAGAAUGAGACAAGGCUUAAGAGUGACUCCAAGGCUCAUUGACGUUUUGAUCGCGCAUGGUCUCAACAUUCCAAAGUGUCAUGGGUCUUUUCAAAUGGCUUCAUGUUUCAAUUAUAAGGAAGCAUUUGUUCAAACAAAAAUGUUUUCAGUCCUUUAAGGAUCAUUGUAACUGAUGAUGUUAUUAUUAUUCAUAAUAAUAAUAAUAAUAAUAAUGCUGAUGUGGUGUCCUGUCCUCUGAUUUCUGUGUGUGAGAGAAACACACUCACAUUUCUGUUACAUGGGAAACUUUAUCUGUAUUAUGGCUGUGUGUGUGUGUGUGUGUGUGUGUGUGUGUGUGUGUGUGUGUGUGUGAGAGUGAUCAGUGUUCUGAUAUUUCUUCAUUUCUCUUCCAGUCUGUGUGUGUGUGAUCUGACAGAGGAAAGCUGUAGAGUUCUGUCCUCAGUUCUCAGAUCAAACUCCUCCAGACUGAGAGAACUGGACCUGAGUCACAAUAACCUGCAGGAUUCAGGAGUGAAGCUGCUCUCUGCUAGACUGGAGAAUCCACACUGUACAC